AACGCACGAGACCUGCGGACCUGCGGAAGGAUCAUUACCGAGUUUACAACUCCCAAACCCAAUGUGAACGUUACCAAACUGUUGCCUCGGCGGGAUCUCUGCCCCGGGUGCGUCGCAGCCCCGGACCAAGGCGCCCGCCGGAGGACCAACCAAAAACUCUUUUUGUAUACCCCCUCGCGGGUUUUUAUAUAUCUGAGCCUUUCUCAGCGCCCCUUCGUGGGCGUUUCGAAAAUGAAUCAA
rnacentral:misc_RNA from 1 species